ACGUGAAACACCGGUUCCCGUACGAUCACUGAAGUUAAGCAACGUCGGGCCUGGUCAGUACCUUGAUUGAGAAUACCAGG